rnacentral:rRNA from 1 species
ACAGAGGUCCCAAGCGUUGUUCGGAUUCACUGGGCGUAAAGGGUGCGUAGGCGGUCGGGUAAGUCUGACGUGAAAUCUCCGGGCCUAACCCGGAAACUGCGUUGGAUACUAUCCGGCUAGAGGAAUGGAGGGGAGACUGGAAUACUUGGUGUAGCAGUGAAAUGCGUAGAUAUCAAGUGGAACACCAGUGGCGAAGGCGAGUCUCUGGACAUUUCCUGACGCUGAGGCACGAAAGCCAGGGGAGCAAACGGGAUUAGAUACCCCGGUAGUCCUGGCCCUAAACGGUGCACGUUUGCUGUAAGCGGAAUCGACCCCGCUUGUGGCGUAGUUAACACGAUAAACGUGCCGCCUGGGAAGUACGGCCGCAAGGUUA